rnacentral:tRNA from 1 species
GACUAUUUAGUUUAAAAAAAUGUAUGUUUUGAAAACAUAAGAUAAGAAUAUAUUCUUAAUAGUUG